CUUUGAUCCAGCACGCCGGCAUGGGACUCAUUUCCAGCUCUGCCACACUGAUGCGACUCAGUGGGUUCGACUUGACCUCGUGGCUCCUCUGGGCCCCUCCGGCCGCAGUUGACGAGACCCGGCUCCCUCCUCCUCUCCAUCCUGAACACCUCCAAUACCUCGCUCUAAUCAAACCGCUCUGCUCUCCGCACCCCUGCCUUUGAUCUGCAUAAUAUGCCUCCUCCUCCUCUUCAUCUCCCUUCUCCAUUUAUCACAUCAUGUGUGAAUGCAGAACAUCAGUGAAAUGUUGUAGAAGGUUCGCCAUAGUCUCCUGUGUACAACAUGCCCAUGCCAAGAUCCUGCUGCUGUACCUUUAGCCGUGACAAGUCGGCCUCUGCACCAGCUGUGCCCAUGGGGCGUCAUCAGUCGUAACAAGAGUCGGUGUGCCCGCUUCAGCGCAACCCCAUUGUGGUGUUAGAGGAUAAUAACACUCUGCUUCCUUUUGUCAGUGUGUUUUGCUGGAUGAUAAACAGAGGGGAUGAAGGACCGGCAGAGGAGCUCAGGCUCAAAGAGAUUUACUAGAGGCAAAAAAAUAAAAAAACUGUAGCUUCCUCAAAGGAAUUACUCAAGACUGAAGAAAAAAAAAAGAAAAAAACUAUUGGAUUUUGAAAAGGAGUGGCAUCAGCAGGUGGAGAGACAGACAUGGUGGAACCACAGGCGGAGGGUGAACCAGCUGCAGGGGAAAGCUAUGAAGUCUACGAGGUGGGCAUGCGAUUCUGCAAGGGAUAAGAUUGAAGAAAAAUAAUUCCCAGGAAGCACAGGAAGAGAUGGAGGAGGAAACAUUACAGCAAACCUCUUGCAAGGAGUUCUCAAAGAAUAAAAAUAAACUUUAAGACGAUAAACAGAGAAACCCUGCAGAAAGAAUUGAGAUCGAGACUUUUUUGACCCUUCAUUGACUUCUUUUAGGUGUUUCAAUGAGAACUUGGGAAACACUAAAUUUGGCCUCACAGAAAAAGGUUCAGUCCAAAUCUUUUGAUACCAGUAGGUGCUCCAUGUGAAAGUAAUCUUGAAUGAUGAAUGAAGGCCCAGGCAGAAGUCUGAAUUUUAAGAGCAGAAAUCUCCAGCCCGAAGUCUUGCUAUGUCCAGAAAGUCAUCCGUAUGGAACACCCUGAAGAGGCAAUGGACCAGCUAACAGAAGAGCUCCAAGCAGCCCUGGACAAUCUGAAGAGCCAGACGGGGAAAAUACACCAGUGCGAGGAAAAAAUUGAGAGAUUAAGAGAGAAAAUGGACAGCCACCAAAAAUGGUGCUGGCAGGCUCCGUCUUUCAGAGAGGAGUAUGAGGCAUCAGCAUAUAGCAGCCCUAAAACUGGUGGUCCAGCUGCACAGGAAGAUCCCGGAAGGGCCAAGUUCACACCGAUCAGUCUUAGUACCAUGAUGAUGGCCACAGCACAACCACAUGGACCUAAAACAACUAGAGAGGCGCUUUCAAGCCAAGAGGUUUAAUAUCAUAAAAAAUCAGUGGUGUCAGAGGACUGGGCAGAAUUAUGAAAGCAUUAUGAAAGACCAGACCAGAGCCUCAGGCAGUUCUGCACCACCCAGCUCCAGCUCACAUUUCACAGUUACUCUUGACUGGAAACCCUGUGUGAUUCCAUCCGUCUCAACUUACCGGAACUACCUACAGAGUUACAUCUCACCUUACCGCACCCCUGCCUCCAGCUGAGCCGCCCCUCUUCCUGUAGCCUCCCGACUUCUUUCUUUCUGC
ensembl:lncRNA